rnacentral:rRNA from 1 species
CUGCUGCCUCCCGUAGGAGUUUGGACCGUGUCUCAGUUCCAAUGUGGGGGACCUUCCCCUCAGAACCCCUACGCAUCGUCGGCUUGGUGGGCCGUUGCCCCACCAACUACCUAAUGCGCCGCAUGCCCAUCCGUGACCGGGGUCGCCCCCUUUGGCCGGCAGGGGAUGUCCCCUCCCGGCAUUAUGUUGUAUUAGGCGGGAUUUCUCCCGGUUAUCCAUCUGUCACGGCCAGGUUGCAUACGUGUUACUCACCCGUGCGCCGGUCGCCGGCGGCAG